UACGUAGGGGGCAAGCGUUGUCCGGAAUUAUUGGGCGUAAAGAGCGUGUAGGCGGCCAGGCAGGUCUGCUGUGAAAACUCGAGGCUCAACCUCGAGCUGUCGGUGGAAACCAUCUGGCUAGAGUCCGGAAGAGGAGAAUGGAAUUCCUGGUGUAGCGGUGAAAUGCGCAGAUAUCAGGAAGAACACCUAUGGCGAAGGCAGCUCUCUGGGACGGUACUGACGCUGAGACGCGAAAGCGUGGGGAGCGAACAGG
rnacentral:rRNA from 1 species